rnacentral:rRNA from 1 species
GAGUUUGAUCCUGGCUCAGAGCGAACGCUGGCGGCGUGCCUAACACAUGCAAGUCGAGCGAGAAAGCCCUUUCGGGGGUGAGUAGAGCGGCGAACGGGUGAGUAACACGUGGGUAACCUGCCUUCGAGAGGGGGAUAACCAUUCGAAAGGGUGGCUAAUACCCCAUAAGACCACAUUUCCCACGGGAAGAGGGGUAAAAGGUGGCAGAAACUUAGUUUCUGUUGUCGCUUGAAGAUGGGCCCGCGUACCAUUAGCUUGUUGGUGAGGUAAGGGCUCACCAAGGCUACGAUGGUUAGCUGGUCUGAGAGGAUGAUCAGCCACACUGGGACUGAAACACGGCCCAGACUCCUACGGGAGGCAGCAGUGAGGAAUUUUGCGCAAUGGGGGAAACCCUGACGCAGCGACGCCGCGUGGGUGAAGAAGGCUUUCGGGUCGUAAAACCCUGUCAGGUGGGACGAAUACUUUCAGCCCAUAAAGCUGGAAGUUUGACGGUACCACCAGAGGAAGCACCGGCUAACUCCGUGCCAGCAGCCGCGGUAAUUCAGAGUUUGAUCCUGGCUCAGGUGAAAAAAAUUCUCAAUGAUUUGGACACCUUCCUCACGGAAAACGACGAUUUCGAAACCCAAGAGAGCUAUACCAUCACUACG